CUAACCUGUGAAGUGCCGCUCAGACGCCCCUCCGAGAAUGGAGGUCUGGGCAGCUGUGUGCCCGCCUGCAGUGACUGACAGACAGGAGGGCUGCCUCAGGCCAACUGAGGACAGUGCUGAAGGGUCUUCUCCACGCAGAGCUACCCGCUGGGCCUCUGUCCUCUCACCCAACCUGCUGCCCUGCCUCUCCUCUCACAAGAGCGGCUCCUGAGAGCAACUCGAGUGAACUUCCGGCCCGCGCGUCUCCCCUGGAGUCAGCUUCCUGGGGAACGCAACCUGCCACAGGUGUGCCCCUUUCACUCCGCACAACAGCUCUGGGAAGAGUGGAAGAUGAGGAGGAGGAUCUCUGUCUAACAGACUUCUGCUUCAGAAAAAUAUUUGGGGAAACUGCUGUCUGGUGACCCUUCUUGGAUCACAUCAUUUGGCUCCUCAUCACUUGGGCAAAUCAGCU
ensembl:lncRNA